GUCUAAAAAAGGCUAGUGCCGAAGACAGCAGGAGCAUUAUGCUUAAUAACCUGCCGAGGUAGAAGCCAAAACAAGAAAAAAGUUAACCCAAAGUCAGCUUUGAUUUUUAGUGUAAUACUUUUGUCCUUGUUGGUUUCAACCCCGGCAAACGCCAGGGGUUUCUUUAUGGCCGA
rfam:Cyanothece sp. PCC 7424, complete genome.